rnacentral:rRNA from 1 species
UACGUAGGAGGCGAGCGUUGUCCGGAGUUACUGGGCGUAAAGCGCACGCAGGCGGUCCUAUUAGUCUGGGGUGACAGUUCCCGGCUUAACCGGAGAAGGACUCUGGAAACUGUAGGACUUGAGGGCUUCAGAGGGAUGUGGAAUUCCAGGUGGAGUGGUGAAAUGCGUAGAGAUCUGGAAGAACACCAAAGGCGAAGGCAGCAUCCUGGGAAGUUCCUGACGCUCGGGUGCGAAAGCCAGGGGAGCGAACGGG